UACGGAGGGAGCUAGCGUUGUUCGGAAUUACUGGGCGUAAAGCGCACGUAGGCGGCUUUGUAAGUUAGAGGUGAAAGCCUGGAGCUCAACUCCAGAACUGCCUUUAAGACUGCAUCGCUUGAAUCCAGGAGAGGUGAGUGGAAUUCCGAGUGCAGAGGUGAAAUUCGUAGAUAUUCGGAAGAACACCAGUGGCGAAGGCGGCUCACUGGACUGGUAUUGACGCUGAGGUGCGAAAGCUAGGGGAGCAAACAGG
rnacentral:rRNA from 1 species